UGUAAGAAACGCGCCAUUUUUCACUAAGCUUUACAUUUAUUGUAAAAACCAGAAAAUGAAGGACAAUUAGCCAUCAAAAACAUAAAAAAACGCUAAACAGUUAUGGCAGAUUCCACAACAUGUCAAUUGCAGAACAAGUACGAGCCAAUCCCUAAUCGUGUGCUGCAAGCCAAUUUAUGUACAAUAAAUAUAGUCCACGUCGUUCUGGCAAUGUUUGCUCACAGGUGGCAAAGUUGGAAGGAACACAAAUAAGUGACCAGUCGGAAUGCCAGAAGCGUCUCAUGAACUGUGGGUCUCGGUAACAGAUAAAUUAUUCGCGUUGCUGGUCCGUCCGGGCAGGAGAUCAAAGAUAUUGGCACUGACAGCCCCCCCCCAACAAUGAGGAGCAGAAUGUCACCAAUGUGCACUUUAUCUGCGGAGGAAAUCGCCAAAGAUAUGUAUGUAUGGCAAGAUAUGGAACGAUUAUGUCCCAGAUGAUGGUAGGCACACAUUGAUAAGAUCCUAAACGCAGAGAAUUCUGCUUGCCUUUUGAAGAAAAAUCGUAUGCUUCAUAUCUUGGACAUAGAUACCUAUUGGCUGCGGGAUGAGCUGGCCUUGAACUAUGGCUCCCAUAUGAUAUCCAAUAAACGAGUAAAGCCAUGUACCGGACUUUAAAGCUGUGCUGAUCGUUUAUUUACAAUGAGGAAUUUGCAGUCCAUCUCCAGAUAAGCUACCUGUAUUUCCAGGCACAGGACUUUGUGGAUGCUUAGAUGGUUGGCUUUCAGCUGUGGCUGCCACGGAACUGGCACUGAGAAGAAACUGGAAACCGUUUUCGUUAUCUAGAAGCUGAAAAAUUAGGAUUGUACGCCUCUGCUGCAGCUCUCCAAUACACAUAUGGUCGAUGAGGUCAGAUUCACCAACAUUGGGCCAGCCAUGUAGUCUCGCUGGAGAGUGAAUGCCCCGUCAAUGCAACUUUCAUCCCGCAGAAAUUCGAGAAAGGCAAGCAUAAUCGACUCCUUUUUGUGCUCCGAUCAGGAGUUCAAGAUCUCCAUGGAAGAGGCCGAUUUCCAUAUCGGUCUAGGUUAAGAUUAUAGCACAUAACUAACAAUUUUGUAA